GAAAAAAGGAGAGAGGAGGAAAACUGUCCUCGCACCUGACAAAAAGAAGAGUGUUUUGGAGAGAUCUGUUGGUUAGGUCCCAACCCCAUGCGUCCCACUGGUCUGGGGUAACGUUGGAGUCUGGCAGUCUGGUCAUUUUUGUAGCUCCGGAGGAUUUUUAGGAACAUGGGGAACAUGGGAUGCAUGGACAUAUGGACCCACAAAACUGUCUGGAGAAUGCUGGCUGUGGAUAAAAGCAUCUGGAAGUUUCCACCGUCUUUUUACCCUGUUUUUUUCCUGGGUCACCCUGUGUCAUUUGUGGCCUUGUCCUGAGGAUUAUAGCAUACAGUCACUUACUGGAAUACCUCCUCAUGCAUCUUCUUGAAAUGGAACUAUUGCUUUACCCAUCUGGAAGAUACUUUCUCUUCUCCCACAGCUUUUCCAGUGCAGCAACACUCCUGUCCAGCAGGUCUCGGUUGACUGCAGAAAGGAGAAGGGAGGAAAAGGAGAAGGGAGGAGUGUGUCAAAGGGAGGUCAGAUCCUGCCAGGGUUUCCUGGGAAAUGAGAUUUUCUAACUAUGGAAGCUCUCCUGAGGAGCUACGUUAUGCGCUGCUGCCCCUGGGAUGGGACGCAGAGCAAGGAGUGAAGAAGAGCUGUGAUGUGCCACUGCAUGUUGCUUUUGUGAGGAGAGGGGCUUUCUGGUAUAUCAUGUAGUGCUGAAAGACAUUUUACUCUUGGCAGCAAAAAUCCUUAUCCUUCUUGGUUUUUUUUUUUCCCAGGACAGAUGCUAUUUCCUGUUAGAGAUGCUUUAUAUGCAAAUCAGGGUGGUACAACAAGAAAAAAGUCCUGAAAGCAAUCACACCGAUAAACUCAGCCAACUGGGGAAUUCCUGCUUAUCAUUUAUCUUUUUUUUCAGUUCUGUCCAAGAUACUUCUUUGCUUGUGCUCUGUUACAGUCUUUAAUGCUUGUCCUGCCAGACCUCUUGCUUAUGAACUACAGUGCUUGCAAUUUCUAGGGCUCCAUGUCAGUCUGCACAAACAAGAGGCAGUAUGUGCUGGAAAUUGGGGUUAACAGUCCCUGUGUUUCAGCUUGAUCUUGCAUUGAUCAGGUUUCUGAUUUCUGAAGUUCAAGCCAGACGUGAGCCUCACACUACAGGUUGUCUUGUGCCUGUAGUGAUGAUCUACCUGGAAAGGUCAUCCCAGAAGCCUCGGGAAUGAAAAAAAAGGAGAGAUAAAAAGCAAAAAGAAGUUAGCAAAAAAUUUACCUAGUAACUUAAACAGGAGCAGGAUUUGACCUGAGGCAUCUCAAGACACAGUGUGGGCAGGCACUGCACUAAUGCAGUAACAUGAGUUGAUCACCUCGUUGCUCCAGCAAAGCAAACUCAAAUUCACAUAGAAUCACAGACUGGUUUGGGUGGGAAGGGGCCUUAAAGAUAAUCUAGUUGAGCUCCCUUGCCAUGGGCAGGGACACCUUCUCUCAGACCAGGUUGCUCAGGACCCCCUCCAGCCUUGCCUUGAACACUGCCAGGGUUUGGGCAUCUACAACUUCCUUGGGCAUCUGCUCAGCCUGUGCCCUCUAUAGGUGUCCCUAUAAGUGGAUGGGGCUGAGCAAAGCCUUGCUCUCACCAGGCUGCCACCUUGCUGAUGUUACAACUGGCUGUGAGGAUGAAAAAAAGACUCAAAAAGAGAAAAAGACAUGUCAGAGAGCUGCAGAAUGGCACUGCCAAAGAACAUUCCCAUGCGUGUCCAGAGACAGCCGCUGCAGCCCAGGCCUUGUUUAAUCAUGCUGUGGUUGUUCUGGCCUUUGUGUGGGUAACAGUGAUAAUCAUUGUCUGGGGUGCUGGGUUUUAUUAUUUGUUUUUUUCCCUUAAAUGUAAAAUUAACAGUCAAAUUUGCAUUGGUGAGGCAGCAAGCCUGGUGCAGCUUUUAUCUAUCCUGAACCUCAGAACAAAGGAGGGGAGGAAAAUGGCUUGACCAGUUUGGCGGCCGUGCACGUAACGGUCCCGGAGUUCAAAGCAAAGGGCACAACAGUCAGAUACCCAAACCCGCCUGGGCUUUGGCUGAUAAGUCACAUUUCAAAGUAAAAGGCAAUCCUGUAGGGGCUCUGCUGAGUGCCUAAAGCCUCCAGUGCUGAGUCUUCUUUAAAAGGGGAUUUCAUAAGGAGUAAUACGAACAGAAAUGGCUCUUUUGUGGUUUUACACAUUCCAGGCAUGCCAGAACUGUUCCUGUCAAGGAUGGGCAGUCUCUGGGGUAUUGGCUUCUUUUUCCUUUUUUUUUCCUCCAAAUAUUUGCCACAAACCAGCAGCUGAAAUGGGGAAAAAUAAAUGAGAGUUGCAAAAUCAUUAUAGUAGCAGUAAUGGAAACUGUGAGGCUUAUACUUAAACUGGCUGUGAGGUUUCUCUCCAUCUUCUGCACUGUUGUGCUGUGAGGACUGCUACUUUUACCUGCUAUGACCACUUCAGGAUGGAUGAUUUGAAAGCAGAGCUUUAACUGCUGGUUACCCAGGACCUCAAAAAACAGUGCUUUUGACUUUUUCAGAAGCAAUACCUUUUCAGCUGAACCACUGUUAAGUCUGAAUUCCUUCAGUGUCAGUGCAGUUAUGUGGCUGUACAGCAUCUUUACAUGAUGAUUUCUGCAGCUCUGUGUGUACAGAAAUGGGGUCCAGCUAUUCCUGCUUUAGGUGCACUUUAGUUUCACGCAGGUUGUGCCGGUUUGGAUUGCACCCGUACAGGUUAACAGAGAGUUUUUAUUGAUGUAGGAGUCUCAAUGCACAACGUUGUGGUGCCUGGAAUCUUAAAGAAGAGCACCUUUGCUCUGCCUUAAAACAGUCUGAAGUUUCACGUGCAAUAAAACACUAGGUGUUCUUUGUAGACCUGCCGUGUUAGGUGAGUGUCUGAUUCAUAAGCCUCCAUGUCCUGUUCUCCACAUGGAUACUGCUCCUGUUGCCAUGGUUCUGUGUCUGGUGUAGUAGCAGGACCUCAUGGACAGCUGGGAAAGCCAUGGCCAGAGGUGUUACUGCUAUCACCUCACCAGAAGUAUGGCUGUAACAAUGUGCAGUUAAGUGUGGGCCUCAGCUCCCCUGAGACACCUUGCACAAACACUCAGUACCUUUAUUAGCAGCACACGCUGACCACAGCUCAGCACCUCCAUGAGCUAGAGCUGCGCCUUUACCUCACGUGCAGGUGAGCCUAAUCCCUCUGUGGGGGGAGCAGAAAAUGGAGCCUGGCUCAUCCCAGCAGAGUCUGAACCACAGAACCAUAGAUAUCCAUCCUGAGCAUUUGUUUUCAGCCCAAGUUUGACUGGAGCACAAAUGCAAAUAGAGGGUGAGAAAGCAUCUCUUUGAAAGUGGCAGUAAAAGAGACACUGUUGGAAUGAACCUUCUGACCUGGUUUUAUUAAAUGUGAAUAUGGUUGCUUAGUGGUAAACAGGAACUGGAGUGGAUUUAGGAGAUGGUUCCUGAAGCCCCCUGCCAUCCUCCAACACAGGCUGAUGUUACAGAGAAGUCUCAAGGCUGUUGCCUGGGCUGUUGUGGAUCUGUGGGUGGAGGAACUUAAUCACCGGGGUUGUUGUCAAAUGCUGCACUUGCAAGAUACAAGGAAGAAGUUCUUGUGUUAAAUCUGUGCUCAACAUAAAUAUUUUUCAUCUUAGAGGAGUCUGGUAUUCUAGUUUUCUGGACUGCUGCCAUUUUGGGUUUAGGAGAAAAAAAAUUAUUUUCUUUCCCCAUCAAUGCUACCAACCACAGAUUUUUGGAAACAAAACGUCAGAAGGGGGUGUUCAGCAGUGAGCUGUCUUUUCACUAGGCCAAUCUCUCAGGAGUUGGUUUUGAAGUGGAUUUUGUUCUGUCCACUCAAGGUCUCUGCUGUGGAAAUAUUUAUUGCUGUGAAACUAUGUCAAGCUUUGUAAGUGGCAGGAAAAAAAAGACUUCUGUAACCAAACAAAUGUGCUUUCCCUACAAGUCACACAGGUGUACGUUUGGAAUUUUCUUGUUUUGUUUUGUACCAAAAUAAUUUUUCCACUGUGAUAACUAGAGUGGGAAAAUGAGUGGCAUUUUAAUAUAGAUUUCAUCCAUUUAAUCACAGCAGAAGGGUACAUAGAGAUUCUCUGUUAUUCUUCUUUUUCUGUGUAUUUACUAAGUGUUUUGUGCUUUAGAAACUCUGUUUUCCCUCUUUUUGAUGGUUUGAGAGUUUUGAUAGAGAGGGCAAAAAUGCUUAUAAGUUUUAAUGUCCUUGGGAAGGCUACAAAAAUUAUGCAGUGGUGAAGAGAUGCAGACAACCUGUAGAAGAGCCAGUUUUUGACAUCAUGGGAAGUGGUUAGCGCCUCAUUGGACAUCCUCACAUCAAAGCUGGACAGUGGAUUGCUUGAGAUACUCUAUUAGAACCACAAAUUGCUGGGCUUUGGGCAGAAAUUACUGUAUAAAAUUCUGUGGUCUUUAUUAGGCAGGUGGACAGACAAAAUAAUUUUGCUGGUUUCUCUCGGCUCUUAGAAUAUAUGAAUCACAUAGUGAGGGUGUUCUGAGGGGGGGGUUGAGUUUCCAUGAAAAGUUUGCCUUGAUAGCAUGCAGACAACAAACCCCAUCUGUUCUCUUGUCCUUUCAUCAUGCUGUGUUGCUUUUGAAUCGUUCCAUAAGGAGGAUGAAAUCAGGCCUGUUAUUUAAAUUUCAGUAUGGGUGGCCAAAGCAACUCUACCUUGGUUAUUAUGAGCCUCCUGUGACCACAGGAAUAGAUAGUGCCUUAUGCUAGCCCUGGUUUAACAAACACCUGAGGAUCAGCUCUUUGCUACAGUGCAGCCCGUGGGAACUGUGUGCCAUGGGAUCCUGCACCAAAGCAGUGUCUGGGGAUAUCUCCUCACACUCUUCAGCAGUAAGGAUGUAAUCUGCCCUUGUAGGCUGGCAUCUGAUUAAAUAGCAGUGUGGGAAAAAAACAACCCCACACUCAUUUAUGUCAGUUGAAUGUGUGUAGUUGGAAACAAAAAAUUCAGGUUCUGUCUGAAGAGUGUUAGAGCCCAUCUGGAGAGCAGUGUCAGAGUCCACGGGAUCCUCGUGUAUAAUCGUGUGAAAGCGAGCUCCUGAUGGAACUGUGAGACAGAAAGGAACCCUGCAACCCUGGAGAGCAAGUAGGAGCAGGGAUGUGACUCGUGACUUUGUCCUUCUAAAGGGGGACACGCUGCCUGCUGUCUGUACUAGAAGAAGGGAGGGGAACUGCCAGGAAGAAUUCAUGGAAAGACACAGAUUACUUGGGUUUGCUUUGAGUCCAGGCUUGAGGAGUGCAGUAUAUUUGGUUAAUUGGGAUGAAGGCUGGCAAGGGGUGACUUGAUUGCUGCAUUUAGAGGAAGAAAGUUUUGAUCAGCGGGUUUAGGGUAAGGAAGAACCCUUAGAAUUUCUAUGUCCUUUUCCAGAUUUUAGAGGAAAUGUCUCUCUAGCAUUGCAGGUUUAGUCUAAAAUAUCAGGCUUAUUAUGUAGAGGUCUUGGGUGAAAGGGACUGAUAUGCAGUGUAGUGAAGACAGGAUAGAUUAUUUGGGUCUUUCUGCCUUUAUGCUCAGAGCUCUGGUACUCCCCAGCACCUUCUUCCCUCAAAGAAGGGAAACACCUUCUGCCCUUCCCUGGGGUGGGGAAGUUCUGCCACAACACUGGGCAUAGCGUAAACUGUCAGGACAAAAUGCUUUGGAGCCAUCUCACCUUAAGACACGUCUAAAGUAUCUGGCUUUCCCUCUUGUAGUGGCUGUUUUUCUCUAGCAGCUAUUUGGGAGACCAGAAAUUUGGCUGAGAUGUGGACUCCUUUGCUUUAGAUGUCUGAAGCUGUGCGAAGUGAAAGCCCCUCUUGCUGCUUUGUGCGCAUGAUGAGGAGUUAGUGGAAGAAAGAACCUUACAAAGAACCGCCUGACACCACCUGAGAUGAAAAUAUUAAGGAAACUCUAAUCAGCUUUCUGCAGCUGAGCAGUCCCUGGAGGUCCUGUACCAAUCCUGACCCACUUGCUGAACGCAGCAGUGCAGCACUGGGCACUCCUGCCUGCCUUCAGAAGAAUUAAAGGACAGCAAUAUAAAAAGGGACAGGUACAGGGGACAGCAAUCAGUGCUAAGUCUUUAAUAAGAAAGAGCUGGGGUAUUUUGUUCAUUAUUAAACCUUAUGCAGCAUUUCUUUUUGUGAGCUGCUCAGAAAGGACGGAGGUGUUCACAGAGGUUUGUUUUCCCAGGUCUUUCCCUGCAUCCUGGCUCGUCCCAUCCCAGUCUUUGCAGCCAUGUUCUUGCCACUGGCAAGCAGCAGCAUGACUCCUGCCACUUGUCCCAGUUUGCUGUCAGGAUGGCCUCCCAUGAUGGCUCAUCAUGAGCCCAGCUUCCCAUCUCUAAGCUCCCCAGAGAUGUUACCGCUUUGCCACGGCUUCAGAUUAGGUCAUCAGGGUGGAUAAACAGCAGUGGGUAAAAAUCCAAUCCAAAACCUCUGGAGAGGAUGAUAGCAGUGGGCUAUUUGUAGCAAACUAUAACCCAUAUCCCCUUUCCAGGUAGAUGUUGCUGAGAAGAUGGUUCCCAUGUGCCUUCAGAAGGGCUGCUGAGCUGCCAGAUGAGCACCAAGCUUUCCCCUUCCUGUGUGUACCCAUCCUUCUGGCUGCAGCCCUUGCUGGACCCUGGGAGGAUGCAGGGCUCUGGCACUCCCUGGGCUGCUAAGGACUGGCCGGACCCCCCGGGCAGAGUGAUGCUCCAGCGCCUUUGAAUGGCUGUGCAGAAUAGUGAGGCAAAACAACCUCCUCCCUGGACACAAACCAUAUUGAUUUGCUGGUGUUUUUUCUUCUUUUUCUUUUGGCUGUCUGAAGUACAAACCUCUUUCACCUAUUUGACAUUAAUUCACUAAUGUAUGGCAGAAGGUUUUGUGUUUGAUUUUAACUGAAAGAGUGAUGAUGCAGUUAUAAACCUUACAUCCAUUAUGUAUCUUUGAACCAUGUGAAAAGUGACUUUUGCAAAAAAUGUGAGAGUUGUGGGGGUUGCGGAAUAAACUUUUUUAAUGCCUGAAUUUUAUUCUA